UGCGGCUGAUGGGUACAAAAAAAUAAUUAUUAUUAAUGUUUGAUUAUGUACUUCCUUUUCAGAACAAUGGAUCUCUGGAGGUGACGAUGUUCGAUUAAAAGCAAAGCAACAUCCGGCUCCUCUGUCACUGCUGAUAGUACUGAACCUGUCUGUUUUCCAUGACAACCGAGUUGGAGAAGAAAAAAUCAGAUCCAAGUGAACUAGUCUGAAAUCUUCAGAGUCCUGCUCUGUUGGAGGAGGAGAUCUGUGGCACUAAUCUUCCUGUACCAUUGAAAGGAGGAUGUUCGCUUGGCAUCAGAACUAGAAACCUAAGAACCAUCUUGGCUCUCUCCACGAGUCACAGAAAUCUGCUUACAGCACCUGUUAAGCUCAGUAAUUAACACUCUAUCUCAUUUGUUUAAUCCACACAGAAUGUUGCACUUAUUUCCUCGAGGUUCAAAUUGCUCCGGCUGUAAUUUCGUCCUUUUGUGUCACACUCACGUGUC